rnacentral:rRNA from 1 species
AUUGAACGCUGGCGGCAUGCUUUACACAUGCAAGUCGAACGGUAACAGGCCUUCGGGUGCUGACGAGUGGCGAACGGGUGAGUAAUGCAUCGGAACGUACCCAGAGGUGGGGGAUAACGCAGCGAAAGCUGUGCUAAUACCGCAUGUGAUCUGAGGAUGAAAGCGGGGGACCUAGCAGCAAUGUUUGGCCUCGCGCCUUUGGAGCGGCCGAUGUCGGAUUAGCUAGUUGGUGGGGUAAAGGCCUACCAAGGCGACGAUCCGUAGCUGGUCUGAGAGGACGACCAGCCACACUGGGACUGAGACACGGCCCAGACUCCUACGGGAGGCAGCAGUGGGGAAUUUUGGACAAUGGGCGCAAGCCUGAUCCAGCAAUGCCGCGUGCGGGAAGAAGGCCUUCGGGUUGUAAACCGCUUUUGGCAGGAACGAAACGGUGUCCGCUAAUACCGGGCGCUAAUGACGGUACCUGCAGAAUAAGCACCGGCUAACUACGUG